rnacentral:rRNA from 1 species
UUGGAGGGCAAGUCUGGUGCCAGCAGCCGCGGUAAUUCCAGCUCCAAUAGCGUAUAUUAAAGUUGUUGCAGUUAAAAAGCUCGUAGUUGAAUUUCGGGAUUGACACAUCGGUUGUGCCUUAAGGGGUAUGAACUGGUGUAGUCAAUUUCUCACCUUCUGGAGAACCGCGAUGCCCUUAAUUGGGUGUCACGGGGAACCAGGACCUUUACUUUGAAAAAAUUAGAGUGUUUAAAGCAGGCAUUUUGCUUGAAUACAUUAGCAUGGAAUAAUAAAAUAGGACGGCAUGAUUCUAUUUUGUUGGUUUCUAGGAUCACCGUAAUGAUUAAUAGGGAUAGUUGGGGGCAUUAGUAUUCAAUUGUCAGAGGUGAAAUUCUUGGAUUUAUUGAAGACUAACUACUGCGAAAGCAUCUGCCAAGGAUGUUUUCAUUAGUCAAGAACGAAAGUUAGGGGAUCGAAGACGAUCAGAUACCGUCGUAGUCUUAACCAUAAACUAUGCCGACUAGGAAUCAGACGAUGUUAAUUUUUUAAUGACUCGUUUGGCACCUUACGGGAAACCAAAGUGUUUGGGUUC